rnacentral:rRNA from 1 species
UGCAGUCGAGCGGACAGAUGGGAGCUUGCUCCCUGAUGUUAGCGGCGGACGGGUGAGUAACACGUGGGUAACCUGCCUGUAAGACUGGGAUAACUCCGGGAAACCGGGGCUAAUACCGGAUGGUUGUUUGAACCGCAUGGUUCAAACAUAAAAGGUGGCUUCGGCUACCACUUACAGAUGGACCCGCGGCGCAUUAACUAAUUGGUGAGGGAACGGCUCACCAAGGGAACCAUGCGUAACCCACCUGAGAGGGUGAUCGGCCACACUGGGACUGAGACACCGCCCAGACUCCUACGGGAGGCAACAGUAGGGAAUCUUCCACAAUGGACGAAAGUCUGACGGAACAACGCCCCGUGAGUGAUGAAGGGUUUCGGAUCGUAAAGCUCUGUUGGUAGGGAAGAACAAGUACCGUUCGAAUAGGGCGGUACCUUGACGGUACCUAACCAGAAAGCCACGGCUAACUACCUGCCAACAGCCGCGGUAAUACCUAAGUGGCAAGCGUUGUCCGGAAUUAUUGGGCGUAAAGGGCUCGCAGGCGGUUUCUUAAGUCUGAUGGGAAAGCCCCCGGCUCAACCGGGGAAGGUCAUUGGAAACUGGGGAACUUGAAUGCAGAAGAGGAGAGUGGAAUUCCACGUGUAACGGUGAAAUGCGUAGAGAUGUGGAGGAACACCAGUGGCGAAAGCGACUCUCUGGUCUGUAACUGACGCUUAAGAGCGAAAGCGUGGGGAGCGAACAAGAUUAGAUACCCUGGUAGUUCACGCCGUAAACGAUGAGUGCUAAGUGGUAAGAGGUUUC